ensembl:lncRNA
GCGGAAAAAAGAAAAAAGAAGAGACAGCGGUAUGAUGCUCACGCAUCGCUUGCAGGUGUGAAGCCGAACCCCUUCCUCCCCCGUCCCGCGUGGCUCUGUGCACGUAACACCUGCCUGCCGCUUCACAGCGGUACAAGAUGUUCUCUCAACAAGAUGUUCUGCAAAAGAGGAACAACCACUUUCACUUUCUGUUGCUGCUGAAAAAAAGUGAUAGAUGUUUGGAAUAACAUGAGGGUAAGUAAAUGAUGACAGUUUUUUCAUUUUUGGGCAGACUAUCCUUUUUAAAGUUUAUCACGUUCUAUCAACUUGCAUUUAUAUUUUGUGCUGAUUUCUCUUGAAGUAAGGAUUGCUUACUUUUUUUCUUUUUUUACAUAUUACUGAAACUGGUAUUCUGAGCAAUCACAAUGACCUCUGUUACAUCACUUUAAAAAAAUGGAUUUGCUGACGUGUCUGUGUAAAGUGUG